GGCUCUGAGGACGACCUGUCUGGGACAUCUGUCACCCCAUUGAUUGCCAAGAUGAUCUGACUGGUAUGUGUGGCAGCUGUUCCCUUUCUCUAUCACUGAUCCGCGUUCAUUCUUCUGGAAGCUGCACCCUAGGUUGAAAACCUUCUGCAACAGAAGAACAGUUAUAUUCUCUUGCUAGGUCCUCCAAACAGGUCUCAAGAAAAAAAUGUAAAUAUCAUAAUACACAACUAUAAAACUACAAUAAUCAAAAUAGCAAGUUAU
rnacentral:snRNA from 1 species